CGAGCGAACAGACGAGGAGCUUGCUCCUCUGACGUUAGCGGCGGACGGGUGAKUAACACGUGGAUAACCUACCUAUAAGACUGGGAUAACUUCGGGAAACCGGAGCUAAUACCGGAUAAUAUAUUGAACCGCAUGGUUCAAUAGUGAAAGACGGUUUUGCUGUCACUUAUAGAUGGAUCCGCGCCGCAUUAGCUAGUUGGUAAGGUAACGGCUUACCAAGGCAACGAUGCGUAGCCGACCUGAGAGGGUGAUCGGCCACACUGGAACUGAGACACGGUCCAGACUCCUACGGGAGGCAGCAGUAGGGAAUCUUCCGCAAUGGGCGAAAGCCUGACGGAGCAACGCCGCGUGAGUGAUGAAGGUCUUCGGAUCGUA
rnacentral:rRNA from 1 species